AAUCGGAUGGCUCAUUCAGUAGAGCAUGUGAUUCUUAAUCUAAGGGUUGUGGGUUUGAACCCCACAUUGGUGA